UUCAAGUAGCUACAACAAAACCGAUGACAUUAAUUCACCAGUGAGAGGCAGCAGUGCGCUAAUGUGCAACAGGAACAAAACAACAGAAGAAGAAAUAAGGACGGUGAGCAUGCACAGCAAGCAAAGUUUUGAAGCUGCGUCGAAUUUGCUUAAACUAAAAAGUAGAAAGACUGUUUACAUUUCACCUCUGGACAAAGAAUGAUUGAUUCCUUCUACACAAUAAUAAUAAGGAAAAAAGCUUGUGUCAGCUGUCUUCUCUGAGCAGCGGUCUUGUGAUCACCGGUCUCAGUAUAACAAAGAGGACACUUCACAUCCUAGAACCCAUAAAAUAAAAGAUUUGACAGAACUACACACCCAUCUGAGGCCUACCUGUUUUAAUUCAUGAUCACCCCGGAUACUUCUACAACUAACCUGCUUGGUGUCUGAUGCUGAUGCAGUCUGGGCACUAGUAUCUGUUGGCUUGCUGACUAUCACUGACGAUGAAGUACUUCUCCAAAUCUUGACCCAGUGUCUUCUGCCAUCAUUGUUCAGGGUAGUACUGCAAAGAAUAGUCUCCAGGGUCUGCCUCCUGCUUCCCGACCACCAUGUGCUACGCUUGCAUCACUACAUGUGGGUUACCCUGAUACUGUGAAGAAAACCUACAAUAUGAUGCUUGACUUGGGACAGAAAAAAAAACAUUGGCAACUUGUGUGGCCAACUCAAUGCCGUAUUUAAAAUCAUUGUACUGCUACCUCCAUUGUUUAACAUAACUAAAAGCAGAUUGUUUUUGCUUUGUUUCAAAAUUUUUGUAAUACGAGUUAAAACUACAUUGAAAAAAAUAUAUCAUCUUUAACUUUGAACUGUCACUACAUUUGAUUUAGGGUAAUUAUGUGUGUGAAGAAUAGAACAUUGUUGUCAUGAAUUUGUAAUAGAUAUUUGAAGUAUUUAAGUUACUAGAGUAAUGGUAACUUUUUUUUUUAAAGGCAAUUGGUCAAAACUAGAUUUCUGUUCAAGUAAAUACAACUUAGAAAUUCCAAGUUGCAGGAAAUGUUACUUGAUUUAGCUAAAUUUAAAUGAGUUGUUUGAAAUAUGUACAUAGUAUAAUGUACUUAAUUUAGUUGUUGAAAAUAGUAAUUCUGAGUUACACGUUUACAAAACUUAUAAAUAAACCUUUGUUAGUACAAAUUACUAUUCUUAUUUCACUUUACUUGUUUUUUCAAGGCAAUCGGUUUGCAUGCUUUUUUUAAAAUAAGGUUUACUCAUUAUAAUUUACAGUGCAGACAAGCACAUGCCCAGUGCACACUAGUGAGAUAAAUUCAAAACACUGUAAUUGUAAUAAAGUACUGUAACUAUACUGUA